rnacentral:rRNA from 1 species
UGGGGAAUUGUUCGCAAUGGGCGCAAGCCUGACGACGCAACGCCGCGUGGGGGAUGAAGGUCUUCGGAUUGUAAACCCCUGUUGGGUGGGACGAACACUUUCGUGGUGAAUAUCCACGAGGGCUGACGGUACCACCUGAGUAAGCCCCGGCUAACUCUGUGCCAGCAUCCGCGGUAAUACAGAGGGUGCAAGCGUUAAUCGGAUUUACUGGGCGUAAAGCGUGUGUAGGUGGCUUCCUAAGUCGGUUGUGAAAUCCCUGGGCUCAACCUGGGAAUUGCAGUCGAUACUGGGAAGCUCGAGUUCGGUAGAGGGCGGCGGAAUUCCCGGUGUAGCGGUGAAAUGCGUAGAUAUCGGGAGGAACAUCGAUGGCGAAAGCAACCGCCUGGGCCUGAACUGACACUGAGACACGAAAGCGUGGGGAGCAAA